rnacentral:rRNA from 1 species
GAUGAACGCUGGCGGCGUGCUUAACACAUGCAAGUCGAACGAUUAAAGCCCCUUCGGGGGUGUAUAGAGUGGCGAACGGGUGAGUAACACGUGGGCAACCUGCCCCUCACACUGGGAUAACUCAGGGAAACUUGAGCUAAUACCGGAUACUCCGGACUGAUCGCAUGGUCGGUCCGGGAAAGCUCCGGCGGUGAGGUAUGGGCCCGCGGUCCAUUAGCUUGUUGGUGGGGUAACGGCUCACCAAGGCUGCGAUGGAUAGCCGAGCUGAGAGGCUGAUCGGCCACACUGGGACUGAGACACGGCCCAGACUCCUACGGGAGGCAGCAGUGGGGAAUAUUGGACAAUGGGCGAAAGCCUGAUCCAGCCAUGCCGCGUGAGUGAUGAAGGCCCUAGGGUUGUAAAGCUCUUUCAACGGUGAAGAUAAUGACGGUAACCGUAGAAGAAGCCCCGGCUAACUUCGUGCCAGCCGCCGCCGUAAGAC